rnacentral:rRNA from 1 species
UAGCCGUAAACGAUACUCGCUAGGUGUCGGCCACGGUGCGACCGUUGUCGGUGCCGUAGGGAAGCCGUGAAGCGAGCCACCUGGGAAGUACGGCCGCAAGGCUGAAACUUAAAGGAAUUGGCGGGGGAGCACAACAACGGGUGGAGCUUGCGGUUUAAUUGGAUUCAACGCCGGAAAUCUUACCGGGAGCGACGGUUACAUGAAGGCCAGGCUGAUGACCUUGCCUGAUUUUCCGAGAGGAGGUGCAUGGCGUAGUCGUGU